CAGUAGCCGCGGUAAUACGUAGGUGGCAAGCGUUGUCCGGAAUUAUCGGGCGUAAAGGGCUCGCAGGCGGUUUCUUAAGUCUGAUGUGAAAGCCCCCGGCUCAACCGGGGAGGGUCAUUGGAAACUGGGAAACUUGAGUGCAGAAGAGGAGAGUGGAAUUCCACGUGUAGCGGUGAAAUGCGUAGAGGUGUGGAGGAACACCAGUGGCGAAGGCGACUCUCUGGUCUGUAACUGACGCUGAGGAGCGAAAGCGUGGGGAGCGAACAGGAUUAGAUACCCCUGUAGUCCCUGUCUCUUAUAU
rnacentral:rRNA from 1 species